rnacentral:rRNA from 1 species
AUUGAACGCUGGCGGCAUGCCUUACACAUGCAAGUCGAACGGUAACGCGGGGCAACCCGGCGACGAGUGGCGAACGGGUGAGUAAUGCAUCGGAACGUGCCCAGUAGUGGGGGAUAGCCCGGCGAAAGCCGGAUUAAUACCGUAUACGACCUACGGGUGAAAGCGGGGGACCGUAAGGCCUCGCGCUAUUGGAGCGGCCGAAGUCAGAUUAGGUUGUUGGUGGGGUAAAAGCCUACCAAGCCGACGAUCUGUAGCUGGUCUGAGAGGACGACCAGCCACACUGGGACUGAGACACGGCCCAGACUCCUACGGGAGGCAGCAGUGGGGAAUUUUGGACAAUGGGGGCAACCCUGAUCCAGCCAUGCCGCGUGCGGGAAGAAGGCCUUCGGGUUGUAAACCGCUUUUGUCAGGGAAGAAACGCUCUGGGCUAAUACCCCGGGGUAAUGACGGUACCUGAAGAAUAAGCACCGGCUAACUACGUGCCAGCCGCCGCCGUAAUAC